GACAGAGGAUGCAAGCGUUAUCCGGAAUGAUUGGGCGUAGAGCGUCUGUAGGUGGUUUAUUAAGUCUACUGUUAAAGAUCAGGGCUUAACCCUGAGCAGGCAAUAGAAACUAAUAAGCUAGAGUACGGUAGGGGCAGAGGGAAUUCCCGGUGUAGCGGUGAAAUGCGUAGAGAUCGGGAAGAACACCAGCGGCGAAAGCACUCUGCUGGGCCGAAACUGACACUGAGAGACGAAAGCUAGGGGAGCAAAUGGG
rnacentral:rRNA from 1 species